UACGUAGGGGGCAAGCGUUGUCCGGAUUUAUUGGGCGUAAAGAGCGUGUAGGCGGCCAGGUAGGUCCGUUGUGAAAACUCGAGGCUCAACCUCGAGACGUCGGCGGAAACCCUCUGGCUAGAGUCCGGAAGAGGAGAGUGGAAUUCCUGGUGUAGCGGUGAAAUGCGUAGAUAUCAGGAGGAACACCGGUGGUGUAGACGGCUUUCUGGACCGUAACUGACGCUGAGACACGAAAGCGUGGGUAGCAAACAGG
rnacentral:rRNA from 1 species